UACGAAGGGGGCUAGCGUUGUUCGGAAUUACUGGGCGUAAAGCGCACGUAGGCGGACUAUUAAGUCAGGGGUGAAAUCCCUGGGCUCAACCCAGGAACUGCGUCCGAUACUGGCAGGCUUGAAUCCGGGAGAGGGAUGUGGAAUUCCAGGUGUAGCGGUGAAAUGCGUAGAUAUCGGGAGGAACACCAGUGGCGAAGGCGACUACCUGGCCUGUUCUUGACGCUGAGGCGCGAAAGCUAGGGGAGCAAACGGGG
rnacentral:rRNA from 1 species